GUCCUUCCUGUGCUGGGAACCCCAGAGCUGGAGGCAACACUUGAGGUGAGGUCUCACCGCUUUCCUGUAAGGUCUUGGGAGCUGAGAAGCCUCAGGAGAAACGUCCCAGCCCCAUUCCUUGCUCCCAGACUCCUCUGCAACCUGUGAGGGCACCUCUUGCAGGCUCCCUGGGAUGCUGGGAACACAGAGGGAAGUACCGGGCAGAGGCAGCAGAGCAGCUCCAGCAGUGGAGGACGUGGGCCGAGACAUCCGAAAUGUGGGCUGCAGGCAAACGGAUUUAUCCUUAGGGCUUCCCUUUCCAAGUCCAGUGCAGGACACAACAGUGACCUUGCCUUGAGAAAUAUUUGGGGUUCAGCUGAUGACCGUGCUACUUGAGGGUGCCAUGAGAUGGCCAAGUUAUUUCGAAUUCCCACUUCCCUGUUUGUCCUGGCCUUGCAAGCGUAGCAGUUUAAUAAAUGCUUUACAACGCUGAGAA